ensembl:lncRNA
ACAAUUUGUGCUUAAAGGUCAGUACCUAUCUAGCCUGCCAGAAGUUUGAGAGGGUUAAGACUGUGGCUCAAGAGUGGAAGCCCAUCAAAAUUGUUUCACCAUGUGCCAUGAUCGGACAAUUGUUCAGAGGAUGGGGCUGGAGGGAAAGCUCACAGGUGGUCAGGACUCAAAGAAGUGGGAGAAUUUAAAGAUGUACAUGGACUUGAACAUAUUUCCUACCAGAACAGGGACAGAUCAGGGAGAGGCCACUGCUGAGAGCUGGUUCAAAGUAAUUGUCACGCCCUGGCCUUAGUUAUCUUUGUUUUCUUUAUUAUUUUGGUUAGGCCAGGGUGUGACAUGGGUGAUGUAUGUUUUUUGUCUCAUCUAGGGUGUUUGUACUGUCUAGGUUUUUUUUUUAGAUUUAUGGGGUUGUGUUCAUUCUAGGUGUUUAUGUAAGUCUAUGGUUGCCUAGAUUGGUUCUCAAUCAGAGGCAGGUGUUUAUCGUUGUCUCUGAUUGGGAACCAUAUUUAGGCAGCCAUGUUCUUUGGGUAUUUUGUGGGUGAUUGUUUCCUGUGUCAGUGUUUGUGCCACAUGGGACUGUUU